ACAGGCGAUCGCUGUACCGUUGCGGUACAGAGGAAAGUCCGGGCUUCACAGGGCAGGACGCCGGAUAACAUCCGGUGGAGGUGACUCCAAGGAUAGUGCAACAGAAAACAGACCGCCUGACAUGUCAGGUAAGGGUGGAAUGGUGGUGUAAGAGACCACCGAUCUGCAGGUAACUGCGGAUGCCGUGUAAACCCCGUCCGAAGCAAGGUUUAUCGAAAGCCAUACGGUUGCCCGCCGUGCUUUUGAGGUAGCCGCUUGAGGCAUGCGGCGACGCAUGUCACAGAUAGAUGAUCGUCCGCGACAUAACCCGGCUUAUCGUAAGGCUC
rnacentral:RNase_P_RNA from 1 species